rnacentral:rRNA from 1 species
AUCAUUAUUGAAUUAUCUUGAUGGGUUGUCGCUGGCCUCUUGAGGCAUGUGCACGCCUGUCUUGACUCUAUUCAUCCACCUGUGCACCUAUUGUAGUCCUUUACUUUUUGAGAGUCAUGAAAACAGGCUUUUUGUUCAGUUGAAACACACUGGAUUUGGGGAUUGCCUCUGGCUUCUCCCCUUGUGGCCUUGUGGAAUUGUGUUCUCAUGAGAAAAGGGCUAUGUUCUUUUAUCAUAAACCAUUUAGUAUGUCAUAAGAAUGUAUUCAAUGGGCCUUUGUGCCUAUAAAACCUUAUACAACUUUCAGCAACGGAUCUCUUGGCUCUCGCAUCGAUGAAGAACGCAGCGAAAUGCGAUAAGUAAUGUGAAUUGCAGAAUUCAGUGAAUCAUCGAAUCUUUGAACGCACCUUGCGCUCCUUGGUAUUCCGAGGAGCAUGCCUGUUUGAGUGUCAGUAAAUUCUCAACCUCUCUGGCUUUUUUGCCAGUUGGGGCUUGGAUUUGGGGGUGUUGCGGGCCUUCUAGGUCAGCUCCUCUAAAAUGCAUUAGCGGAACCGUUUGCGAUCCGUCACAGGUGUGAUAAUUAUCUACGCCAGUGGGUUGCUCUCUGUCUUGUUCAGCUACYAACUGUCUGCACAGGACAAACUUAUUGAAUAUUUGACCUCAAAUCAGGUAGGACUACCCGCUGAACUUAA